GGGUGAGUAACACGUGGGCAAUCUGCCCUUCACUCUGGGACAAGCCCUGGAAAACGGGGUCUAAUACCGGAUAAACACUCUGUCCCGCAUGGGACGGGGUUAAAAGCUCCGGCGGUGAAGGAUGAGCCCGCGGCCUAUCAGCUUGUUGGUGGGGUAAUGGCCUACCAAGGCGACGACGGGUAGCCGGCCUGAGAGGGCGACCGGCCACACUGGGACUGAGACACGGCCCAGACUCCUACGGGAGGCAGCAGUGGGGAAUAUUGCACAAUGGGCGAAAGCCUGAUGCAGCGACGCCGCGUGAGGGAUGACGGCCUUCGGGUUGUAAACCUCUUUCAGCAGGGAAGAAGCGAGAGUGACGGUACCUGCAGAAGAAGCGCCGGCUAACUACGUGCCAGCAGCCGCGGUAAUACGUAGGGCGCAAGCGUUGUCCGGAAUUAUUGGGCGUAAAGAGCUCGUAGGCGGCUUGUCACGUCGGAUGUGAAAGCCCGGGGCUUAACCCCGGGUCUGCAUUCGAUACGGGCUAGCUAGAGUGUGGUAGGGGAGAUCGGAAUUCCUGGUGUAGCGGUGAAAUGCGCAGAUAUCAGGAGGAACACCGGUGGCGAAGGCGGAUCUCUGGGCCAUUACUGACGCUGAGGAGCGAA
rnacentral:rRNA from 1 species